UACGUAGGUGGCAAGCGUUAUCCGGAAUUAUUGGGCGUAAAGAGCGCGCAGGUGGUUAAUUAAGUCUGAUGUGAAAGCCCACGGCUUAACCGUGGAGGGUCAUUGGAAACUGGGUGCCUUGAGUGGGCGAGAAGUACGCGGAAUGCGUGGUGUAGCGGUGAAAUGCAUAGAUAUCACGCAGAACUCCGAUUGCGAAGGCAGCGUACCGGCGCCCAACUGACGCUGAAGCACGAAGGCGUGGGUAUCGAACAGG
rnacentral:rRNA from 1 species